GAUUGACAGACCACGUGACUUUCACGUAUUGCAUUGUGGGUACGAAUGGCAACAAAAUCAAAACACUGCAUCAAGCGCUAGCAUUUCCAGCACCGGUAAUCAUUAAUUCUGCGGUUUUAAUCCCUACUUGCAUUUUAUUUGCCCCAAAAACAGUAAUGUACAAAACGACGGAGUGUGAGUGCAUACACUCACAAAAUGUUUAGUAACUUCAGAUCCCUGCAACAAGCCCAGGUCCAGUUUACUUUGGUGAUUUGGACUAUUCCAGUUCACAGCUGUUGUUAAAUUCUUUUCCUUUAUCUCCUGUACAGGCCAACGCAAUCUAUUUGUCGUUUCAGGUUGUAGUAUUACACAACAUUUUCAGAUCUAAUAGAAAUAAAAUGAGUGUUUCGUAAUU